rnacentral:rRNA from 1 species
AUGAUCCUGGAGUACAAUUUGGACAGUGGUGAACUGGCUGCGUUCCGCCCACCACCAGACGGUUACAGCAGUGACAACGAAAGAUUUAACCUCAUGCUGGCGGAGGACGGUGGGCUGGGGGUUGCCGAAGCCAUUGAUCUGCAGCUCAUAUUGUGGAAAAGGGAGGCGAGUGACGGCACUGAUGCACGGUGGGUGCUGAGCCGGAUUGUCGACCUGUUUGAUUUUCUCCCAAUUGUUGUCGAUUCAAAAAGUCUUUCUCCAGUGUUGGGCUUUGCUGAGGGAGUAAAUGCUAUUUUCGUGUCAACUGUGUAUAGUCUCUUCAUGAUCGAGCUAAAGUCGGAGCAGGGGAAAAACGUGUGUGCUAGUCAUGGCUUCUGUAACUUGAUUCCAGUUGUCAGCUUCUACACUCCACAUUUUAGGCUCCAAGUGCCCGGCGGUGAACACCACGGCCCAGCGCCGUGGCUGAACCCUACUGAGGAGGGGUGGUCAGCAAGGGGUUUGGGAGGAGAAAUCAGUAGAAUGGGCGCAGGUGCUGUUUGA